AGCUCCAAUAGCGUAUAUUUAAGUUGUUGCAGUUAAAAAGCUCGUAGUUGGAUUUCGGGCGGGGCCUGCCGGUCCGCCUUUCGGUGUGCACUGGCAGGGUCCGCCUUGCUGCCGGGGACGGGUUCCUGGGCUUCACUGUCUGGGACUCGGAGUCGGCGUGGUUACUUUGAGUAAAUUAGAGUGUUCAAAGCAGGCCUACGCUCUGAAUACAUUAGCAUGGAAUAACGCGAUAGGACUCUGGCCUAUCUUGUUGGUCUGUGGGACCGGAGUAAUGAUUAAGAGGGACAGUCGGGGGCAUUCGUAUUUCAUUGUCAGAGGUGAAAUUCUUGGAUUUAUGAAAGACGAACUACUGCGAAAGCAUUUGCCAAGGAUGUUUUCAUUAAUCAAGAACGAAAGUAGAUCGGA
rnacentral:rRNA from 1 species